CAGAAUUGUCCGUUUCAGGAAAGAAAACCAAAUUCAAAGUGGUGGAAAAACAUAAGUGAAACAGAAAAAAAGUGUUAGAAUAAGUGAUGGAUUCGUAAAUCUGUUGCAUCACCAAGGAAAAUAGUUCACAUUUAAAAAGGACAGGACGCAGAAAACGCAAAGAAUGCAAAGAUUAUACAGAUUUAAUAAAUUGUGCAUAGAAAAAACCAAAAGAGGCACAAAACUGUCUGACACUCUUUGAUAAAUCUAAAAUAUUGUGUCAGCCUUAGAAGUCAAAGUAGCUACUUCUUGGAAUGAAAGCCAUGAACCGUACUAUAUGGGAUGCUUUGAGCUGCUGUUUUGGCGCAGAAGUAGUUUUAAUUUGUGGAUGAUGUUGUGAAGCAGUUUUGGUACAAUUACCUUUAGCGUUGGGAUUGGAUGUUAGAGUCUAGGUUAGAGAUACUGUAGACGGGAUAAUUAAUGGUCAAGAUUAGGAUUAUGGUGAUACAUAGGGGUUAGUGAUGAUGUUUCGGAGUUAAAUACCAAAAACGCUAAAUUGCUACUUUUAUUUUAGUACUGCAACCCUGAUAUAUGGAACGUCUUCACACCACCACACUCAGUACUUCUCCUUUCUGAAAUGGCAACUCCAAAAGUUCUAGACCUUAAACAUGACCUUUGAAUAACAAUAAAAGCCUGCACCAGCCUUAACUAUUUGAACAAAUAACACCCACUACUCCCCUUUAAAUGAUCC